CUUGCUUCCUUGAGACCGGCGCACGGGUGCGUAACGCGUAUGCAAUCUACCUUUUGCAGAGGGAUAGCCCAGAGAAAUUUGGAUUAAUACCUCAUAGUAUGCAGAGUUGGCAUCAACACUGCAUUAAAGUCACAACGGCAAAAGAUGAGCAUGCGUCCCAUUAGCUAGUUGGUAAGGUAACGGCUUACCAAGGCUACGAUGGGUAGGGGUCCUGAGAGGGAGAUCCCCCACACUGGUACUGAGACACGGACCAGACUCCUACGGGAGGCAGCAGUGAGGAAUAUUGGACAAUGGGCGCAAGCCUGAUCCAGCCAUGCCGCGUGCAGGAUGACGGUCCUAUGGAUUGUAAACUGCUUUUAUACGAGAAGAAACACUCCUUCGUGAAGGAGCUUGACGGUAUCGUAAGAAUAAGGAUCGGCUAACUCCGUGCCAGCAGCCGCGGUAAUACGGAGGAUCCAAGCGUUAUCCGGAAUCAUUGGGUUUAAAGGGUCCGUAGGCGGUUUAAUAAGUCAGUGGUGAAAGCCCAUCGCUCAACGGUGGAACGGCCAUUGAUACUGUUAGACUUGAAUUAUUAGGAAGUAACUAGAAUAUGUAGUGUAGCGGUGAAAUGCUUAGAUAUUACAUGGAAUA
rnacentral:rRNA from 1 species